CACGUAGGGUGCGAGCGUUGUCCGGAAUUAUUGGGCGUAAAGAGCUCGUAGGCGGUGUGUCGCGUCGGCCGUGAAAACCUGCAGCUUAACUGUGGGCUUGCGGUCGAUACGGGCAUCACUGGAGUUCGGCAGGGGAGACUGGAAUUCCUGGUGUAGCGGUGAAAUGCGCAGAUAUCAGGAGGAACACCGGUGGCGAAGGCGGGUCUCUGGGCUAGAACUGACGCUCAUGCACGAAAGCGUGGGGAGCAAACAGG
rnacentral:rRNA from 1 species